rnacentral:rRNA from 1 species
AGAGUUUGAUCAUGGCUCAGAUUGAACGCUGGCGGCAGGCCUAACACAUGCAAGUCGAGCGGAAACGACAYUAUUGAAUCUUCGGAGGAUUUAAUGGGCGUCGAGCGGCGGACGGGUGAGUAAUGCCUAGGAAAUUGCCUUGAUGUGGGGGAUAACCAUUGGAAACGAUGGCUAAUACCGCAUAAUGCCUACGGGCCAAAGAGGGGGAUCUUCGGACCUCUCGCGUCAAGAUAUGCCUAGGUGGGAUUAGCUAGUUGGUGAGGUAAUGGCUCACCAAGGCGACGAUCCCUAGCUGGUCUGAGAGGAUGAUCAGCCACACUGGAACUGAGACACGGUCCAGACUCCUACGGGAGGCAGCAGUGGGGAAUAUUGCACAAUGGGCGAAAGCCUGAUGCAGCCAUGCCGCGUGUAUGAAGAAGGCCUUCGGGUUGUAAAGUACUUUCAGUUGUGAGGAAGGGUGUGUAGUUAAUAGCUGCRCAUCUUGACGUUAGCAACAGAAGAAGCACCGGCUAACUCCGUGCCAGC